GGGGGACUGGUGUAGUGGGAACACGGCGGUCUCCAAAACCGCAACUCGAGGUUCGAUUCCUCGGUCCCCCG
rnacentral:tRNA from 1 species